AGAGCGAACGCUGGCGGCAGGCCUAACACAUGCAAGUCGAGCGCCGUAGCAAUACGGAGCGGCAGACGGGAGAGUAACACGUGGGAACGUGCCCUUCAGUUCGGAACAACCCAGGGAAACUUGGGCUAAUACCGGAUACGUCCGUAAGGAGAAAGAUUUAUCGCUGAAGGAUCGGCCCGCGUCUGAUUAGCUAGUUGGUGAGGUAACGGCUCACCAAGGCGACGAUCAGUAGCUGGUCUGAGAGGAUGAUCAGCCUCACUGGGACUGAGACACGGCCCAGACUCCUACGGGAGGCAGCAGUGGGGAAUAUUGGACAAUGGGCGCAAGCCUGAUCCAGCCAUGCCGCGUGGGUGAUGAAGGCCCUAGGGUUGUAAAGCCCUUUCGGCGGGAAGAUAAUGACGGUACCCGCAGAAGAAGCCCGGCUAACUUCGUGCCAGCAGCCGC
rnacentral:rRNA from 1 species